rnacentral:piRNA from 1 species
UAGAGUAACUCUGGAUUUUCCCGGGA